GGUGGCAUCACUUUUACCUUUCUUUAGUUAUGCCCCUUUAUAAACAUAAAAAUUGCUGAAUGUUUCGUUUCCGUUCUCUUACUUUAGUUUGCCUCAACCAAAUGUUAAGAAACUUAUACACAAUGCUUAUUACCACAAAAUACAGAUCAAGUUUGAAUUUUGGUGGUAUCACUUUUACCGUUCUAGAGUUGUGCCUGUUUACAAAUGGAAAAAUUGCUGAAUUUUUCGUUUCUGUUCUCUAACUUAAGUUAGCGUCAACCAAAUGUUAUGAGACUUAUACAUAAUACUUAUUACCACAAAACUCAGAUCUAGUACAAAUUUGGGUAGCGUCAUUUUUACCGUUUUCAGUUUUGUCCCUUUAUAACCUUAUAUGAUAUGCAAGCAGGGGCAUCAUCUGUGUCCCAUGGACACAUUCCCCAUUUAUUUUAGUUAUUGCCCUUGUAACUUGGAUAGAUAAAAUAUGUGCAAUGCGGGGGACAUUGGAAUAUGUUCUUUUAUUUUUAGUCCCCUACCAACGAAGUCGAAGGGGGCUUUAGGUUUGCACUCCGUCCGUCUGUCUGUCUGUCAGUCUGUCCGUCUGUCUGUCUGUCUGUCCGUCUGUCAGUACGGCAAAUCAGUUUUCCAGACUUUUUUUUUUGUGCUUGAAGAUAUUGAUUUGAUAUUUGGUUUAUUGAUUUAUCAUGACAAGUUACAGGUCAAGUUCAAUUUUCACGAUUUUAGCUUUUCUCUUUGUUUAGUUAAAGCCCUUUCCCUAGAAUUAAAUUUUUGAUGAAAUACUUAUUAAUUUGUAGAUUUCUGUUCAAAGGGAAAUAACUCAUUUUUUAAAAGACUUUCAGAAGACAAAAUGACAUUUUGGAUCUUUAUCCUUUUCUUUGGUAAAUUGUUUGAAGAAUUUAGUAGUAGGUUUGUUUGUCAUUCUUGAAGAUAUUGAUUUGAUAAUUAGUAUAUAGUUUUAUCAUAACAAGUUACAGAUCAAGUUGGAAUUUUGUUCCAGUCGGAUAAUUUUGUGCAGAGUUAUGGUUUUUUUCGUAAUGCUUGAAGAUUUUGACUUGAUAUUUUUAUGUAGUUUACACCAUAACAAGUUAUAGAUCAAGUUAGAAUUUCGUUCCAUUUCAAUGAAUUUGUAACUGGUAGGGGACUAUGAAUUGCCAUGCAAUACUCACAGAAUGCUUGUUUUUAUAUUGGUAUGACGUUGGCGUCGUCGUCGUCCGAAAACACAUUGGUUUUCGCACUCUAACUUUAGUUUAAGUGAAUGGAUCUCUAUGAAAUUUUACCAUAAGGUUCAAUACCACAAAAGGAAGGUUGGGAUUGAUUUUGGGGGUUAUGGUACCAACAGUAAAGGAAUUAGGGGCCAAAAGUGGCCAAAAAUAAGCAUUUUUGUAACUUCCAGACAUAACUUGUGUGUUAGUGUAUGGAUCUCUCUGACAUUGUACCACAAGGUUCAAUAUCACAAAAGGAAUGCUGGGAUUGAUUUUGGGGGUAAUUGCCUCAAAAUUUUAGAAAAAAGGGGCAAAAAACAA